rnacentral:rRNA from 1 species
UACGUAGGGUGCAGGCGUUAAUCGGAAUUACUGGGCGUAAAGCGUGCGCAGGCGGUUUGCUAAGACAGGUGUGAAAUCCCCGGGCUUAACCUGGGAACUGCGCUUGUAACUGGCAAGCUGGAGUGUGGCAGAGGGGGGUGGAAUUCCACGUGUAGCAGUGAAAUGCGUAGAGAUGUGGAGGAACACCGAUGGCGAAGGCAGCCCCCUGGGCUAACACUGACGCUCAUGCACGAAAGCGUGGGUAGCAAACGGG